rnacentral:tRNA from 1 species
GCCUCUGUGGCGGAAUGGUAGACGCGGCAGACUCAAAAUCUGUUGUCAGCGAUGACGUGCUGGUUCGAGUCCGGCCAGGGGCACCA